rnacentral:SRP_RNA from 1 species
GCCGGGCAUGGUGGCUCAUGCCUGUAAUCCCAGCACUUUGGGAGGCCGAGGCGGGUGGAUCACCUGAGGUCAGGAGUUCGAGACCAGCCUGGCCAACAUGGUGAAACCCUGUCUCUA